AUUCACUAUACACACUGCACUCACUACAAACACACUACAUUUGUUAUACACACUGCACUCACUACAAAUACACUACAUUCAUUAUACACACUCUGCACUCACUAAAAACACACUGCAUUCAUUAUACACACUCUGCACUCACUAAAAACACUGCAUUCAUUAUACACACUCUGCACUCACUAAAAACACACUGCAUUCAUUAUA
rnacentral:lncRNA from 1 species